rnacentral:rRNA from 1 species
UUAACGGGUGAGGAACACGUGAGAAACCUGCCUUUCAUUCUGGGAUAACACCGGGAAACCGGUGCUAAUACCGGAUACUCCGUCUUGGCGGCAUCGCCGAGCCGGGAAAAAAUUUUGAUGAAAGAUGGUCUCGCGGCCUAUCAGCUAGUUGGUGAGGUAAUGGCUCACCAAGGCGACGACGGGUAGCCGGCCUGAGAGGGCGACCGGCCACACUGGGACUGAGACACGGCCCAGACUCCUACGGGAGGCAGCAGUGGGGAAUAUUGGGCAAUGGGCGCAAGCCUGACCCAGCGACGCCGCGUGAGGGAUGAAGGUCUUCGGAUUGUAAACCUCUUUCAGUAGGGAAGAAGCGAAAGUGACGGUACCUAAAGAAGAAGCACCGGCUAACUAUGUGCCAGCAGCCGCGGUAAUACAUAGGGUGCAAGCGUUGUCCGGAAUUAUUGGGCGUAAAGAGCUCGUAGGUCGUUUGUCGCGUCGAUUGUGAAAAUCUGAGGCUCAACCUCAGACCUGCAGUCGAUACGGGCAAACUAGAGUGUGGUAGGGGAGACUGGAAUUCCUGGUGUAGCGGUGGAAUGCGCAGAUAUCAGGAGGAACACCAAUGGCGAAGGCAGGUCUCUGGGCCAUAACUGACACUGAGGAGCGAAAGUGCGGGGAGCGAACAGGAUUAGAUACCCUGGUAGUCCGCACCGUAAACGGUGGGCACUAGUUGUGGGAACCUUCCACGGUUUCCGCGACGCAGCAAACGCAUUAAGUGCCCCGCCUGGGGAGUACGAUCGCAAGAUUAAAACUCAAAGGAAUUGACGGGGCCCCGCACAAGCAGCGGAGCAUGCGGCUUAGUUCGACGCAACGCGAAGAACCUUACCAAGGCUUGACAUAUAGCGAAAAGUGGCAGAGAUGUCAUGUCCGCAAGGGCGCUAUACAGGUGGUGCAUGGUUGUCGUCAGCUCGUGUCGUGAGAUGUUGGGUUAAGUCCCGCAACGAGCGCAACCCUCGUUCUGUGUUACCAGCAUUUAGUUGGGGACUCACAGGAGACUGCCGGGGUCAACUCGGAGGAAGGUGGGGAUGACGUCAAAUCAUCAUGCCCCUUAUGUCUUGGGCUGCACGCAUGCUACAAUGGCCGGUACA